AUUGAACGCUGGCGGCAGGCCUAACACAUGCAAGUCGAGCGGUAGCACAGGGAGCUUGCUCCUGGGUGACGAGCGGCGGACGGGUGAGUAAUGUCUGGGAAACUGCCUGACGGAGGGGGAUAACUACUGGAAACGGUAGCUAAUACCGCAUAACGUCGCAAGACCAAAGAGGGGGACCUUCGGGCCUCUUGCCAUCAGAUGUGCCCAGAUGGGAUUAGCUAGUAGGUGGGGUAACGGCUCACCUAGGCGACGAUCCCUAGCUGGUCUGAGAGGAUGACCAGCCACACUGGAACUGAGACACGGUCCAGACUCCUACGGGAGGCAGCAGUGGGGAAUAUUGCACAAUGGGCGCAAGCCUGAUGCAGCCAUGCCGCGUGUAUGAAGAAGGCCUUCGGGUUGUAAAGUACUUUCAGCGGGGAGGAAGGUGUUGAGGUUAAUAACCUCAGCAAUUGACGUUACCCGCAGAAGAAGCACCGGCUAACUCCGUGCCAGCCGCCGCGGUAACAC
rnacentral:rRNA from 1 species